UUGGGAUUGAGCCAUAUGGUUAGAGUUAGGGUUCGAGAAGUGAGGAUGUGGAAAGCUCUAAGUGUUCAACUUGACCCAUCAGGUGCGACAUUAGGUUCGAAGACAAGACGCAAAGCCUUUAAGGGUGCGAGUCAUGGUUUGAAGAGGGUCUAAGUUCGAGGCUUCAAAAAGUGUGCGAGUCAUGGUUUGGAGAGAAAUUAAGUCAUGGUGAGCAUAUGAGCAAUUGAAUAUUUAGGGUUUCGUCAAGAGUACAUCAUAGUAAAUCGCCGGCUUUUAUAGGUAAGGAAUAAUCUCACCGUCUCAAGGAUUUUAUUAGCACAGUGAUUGUCCCUUAAAGCCCCUAUCUUUUUCCAUUUUAGCAUUACCUAUUGAGAUGGCUGAUAAAAGGGAAGGGGGUAUCGAAUAGAACAUAAAUAGAUACUUUGAGGCAAUUGAUAGUAUUACCCAAGUAUGGUUUGAGGUGAGAGAUCAACUUCGAGAAGGGUAUGACUCAGUAGUUGAUGACAUUUUAGUUGAUGCCAAUAGAAAGAGUAAGGGAAAUGAAGGUGAAGGCAGUAGAGGUAAUCAAAAGAUUGUUGAAACUGGUGAGUGUUCUCAAGGUAAACAGAAAGUGGGAGACGUUGAAAAUGUCUUUGUUGACUGUGAUGAGGGACGAAUUUCUUAUGACUAUGAGGAUUGUGCUAAUGAGGAUGAGGAGACAAAUGUCGUUGACAAUGUUGAAGGGAGGGUCGAGGUGACUAAUUUGUUUAAUAAUAAUAGAUGAAUCAAGAAAUGAGGAUGAGGAUUUCAUUUGGGGAAAAGAAAAUGAGGACUCGUAUGUUGAAUAUUCAAACAAUGGUUAUGAGAAAGAUAAGCUGGAUAGUGAAAUAGGCCUAGAUGAUGAUUAUAGGCCUACGGAAGAAGAACGAAGGCCUGUAGAUGAGUUUGGAUAUGAUUCUAGGCCCAUUUUCAUGGUGGGUCAAACAUUUGUAGACAAGGAUAAGGCAUAUAGGGCUGUUAAUAGGUAUGCAAUUAGGGAGGGGGUGCAUUUGAAGAUGAAGAAAAGUGAGCACUUUAGAUUAAAGGUAUGUGUCAAAAGAUGGAUUAAACCCCGGAAUGAUGGUAAAGACACUAUGUUUGAAGCAUAUGUAUAAUAGGGUUUAUAAGAACCUAACGGCAUCAACAAAAGUGGUUAGCUUCAUACUUCAAGAACAAGGUGCAAGAGAGGACUUGAUACAAGAUCUCAAAUAUGAAGAAGGAUAUGGAGGAUGAAUUGAAACUACAUGUCAGCUUACACAAAUGCAAGCGUGCUACAAGGAUAGUCAUAGAGGAAAUGAAGGGAAAAUAUAGGGAUGAGUUAGAAGCUUAUUGUAUGAGGUUAAAUCUUCUAACCUAGGUUCAGAUCUUAGUGUUAAAGUCAGCAAAGAGUAUUUGUAGAAUGUCAAAAGGGAUUUUAAUAAACUAUACUUGUGCUUUGAUGCUUUAAAGGUUGGUUGUUGACCAAUUAUUUGUCUUGAUAGGACUUUCCUCAAAGGCCAUGCUCGAGGUAUUCUGCUCACUAGCACUAGAAUAGAUGAUGAUGAUGGUUUGUUCCCUAUUGUAUUCAUUCUAACUCAAAAACAAAAUACUGUGAACUGGAUCUAGUUCAUACAAUGGUUCUAAAAGUCAUUAGACCUUGGGGAUGGGCUUAAGGUUAUUAUAAUGUCAGACAUCUUAAAGGUAUUUUUUUUGUAUUGUUUUGGGCUUUAUUUUUUCCUUGCAUUUUAUUUUCUAUAUUAAUUAAUGAACUGGAACACUAUUUUACAAUUCUACAUCUUAGUUUUUAAGAAUAAGAAUGCCCUAUUUUGUGGAAAAAAUUUGAUUACCUGCUAUACUCUAUUUGAAGUUCCCUUCCUGUUUUACGAAGAGGAAGCUUUUGGAGUAAAUUUCUCUAUUAAUUACACAAGUGUUUAAUUACACUUUCUCCCCAAAAGUCGUUGUUCUUUUAGAACCAAGAUGAUGAUAUUAUAGUUUUCACUCGUGUGACCUACCUACUUUCAUUAGCAUUCAUUCAUUUUUACAGAACUGUCCUUAGUGCAGUUGCUCUUUUUGGGUGGGAAGAAACUUAUCAUUUUAGAUGCAUCUCAUUUUAAGUAAUAAAUAAUUAACUUGAAUUAAUGAAAAAUUAGGAUAUAGAAUUUCAUAUAUAGUUUCAAUAGCCUGUGGUGCUAAUUCCAUAUUAUUGCUGAAUUACCUAGUUGAAAAUUGCAUAGCAGCCAGUGAUACAUCCUGUUUAUGUUUUUCUAACUGCUUGUAUGACAAAAUUGCAUAUAUCUACUUGAAAAUUUUGACUACAUAAAAUUACUAUAACCUUUUAUAUUAUUUAAUAGCCCUUCUAACCACCUCUUUAUUUUCCGUAACCAUAUUAUUCUAGUCCAUCAAUUUAUAGAUAAAUAGGCUUGAUAAUCACCCAUCACAAAAUCUAAACGCUCACAUUCUCUUUGUCUUGUUAAAUUAAUCAUUAUUUGUAUUGCAUAUUCUGUCCUGUAUUGAUCUAAUUUUAGUGUUGAUUUAUUCAAGGCUUGAUAGAUACUGUUUAGAGUAUACCUCCAAAGGUCGAGUAUAGACUAUGUGCUAGGCAUAUCUAUGCCAAUUGGAUCAAGAGAUGGAAAGGCAAUAACUUGAAGAAGAAGUUUUUCACUUGUGUAUGGAAUACGUUUGAGGAGAAAUUUAAGGACAAUUUGAAAGCAUUGGGCAGCUUAAGUGAGCAAGUAGUUGAGGUAGCAUUUCCUUAUUCUCCAAACAGUUAGGUAAGAGCAUGCUUUAGUACUAGAUGUUUAUCGUGAAAUGUUGACAACAAUGUUAGUGAAAGCCUCAAUGCAUGGAUAAAUGACAUUAGGCAUUUGUUUGUCCUUAGAAUGUUAGAUGGAAUUAGGAUUAAAAUAGUAGGGAAAUAGGCUGAGGCUGCAAAUAGAAAAGUAAAAUGGAAAUUUUAGCCCUGAAUGUGUGGGAAUGUUUGAAACAAACAAUCAUCUAGCAGCAACUUGUAGGGUCUCUUUUAAUGGUGAUAAAGGUUAUGAGGUCACCGAGGGUUCUGAUAGAUAUACAGUGUUUCUAAACACUAAGAAGUGCACUUGUAGAAUUUGGGAUCUCACAAGAAUACCUUGUUAACAUGUCAUUUGUGCACUUUGAGAUGCAAAGCUAGAUCCAAGCACUUAAAUCUCUCAUUACUAUAACAAAAGCACAUGUGUUGCUAAUUAGAGGAGUAAGCUACAACCUGUAACAGGAAAGCAAUUUUGAAAGGCAGAUCAAUUUGAUCUUAUGGAACCACCAUCAUUGGUUAAAAUGCCUGGCCGACCUAAGAUAAAAAAGAUUGAGGAUUGGAGAACAAAUAAGAAGGGUCAUUAGUGCUAGCCAGCAGACAGAGGCAUCAUAUUCCCUUGCCAUCCCUAAGAAAUUAAGUAAGAAAGGCAAGCGUAUAACAUGCACCAUUUGUAAAGGAGUUGGCUAUAAUAGAGCAACAUAUACAAAAGUAUGUGUCAUAGCAUUUAUUGUCUUAAUUUAUUUUACUGGUUAUGAUUGAUUCAUUUAAUUGGUUAUGCAGAAACAUAUAUGAGUUCACAAGGUAGAGGAAGUGUUACCUCCUUGUCAUCUCAAGCAGGCAAUGAAACAGCCCAAAAAUUUGCACCACGUUGAGAGGGCAUUUUAUAAGACUAGAAAUGACAGUGGUAUGGGAAUAAGAGUAGAUUGGACACUGGGAGGACUGUUUACAAUGUAUGUUUAUGUGUUAAGUUAGUUUUGGUCAUUGGAGUAGAUUUGCUGCUCAUCAUGUGUUAACUUUGAUUGAUUUAUGUUUCCUUGCAACUUGGGAUGCGUUCAGAGGUAGUUAUUAAAGAGGGCACAUGGCAGGAGUAUCUGCAAAAUUAUGCUGAUCCUGAGACACACUUUCCCAUCCCUCAUAAGAGAGAAAUGAGAAGACACACAGUGCAAGGUAGUACAAUUGAGAAAAGCUCUAGAAAGAUUAGAUUCAGCAAUGACAAGAGUCCUUCACAGUUUCCUUUUAAUCCACCAAAGCUAACGUGGAGAAGACAUCCCAGUGUUACAACCUCCCAUCUUAUGGCUCAGAGAGGGGAAAAAAAAAGAAUUGGACAAUUGAGAUUUAGGUCUACCUGUGGCAGCAUUUGAUAUGGCAACUUAGAAUCCCAGUAGUAGUAUCUAAUUAGGAUCUUUUGCUUUAUUAACAUUUGUAGUAUGACUUUUGUUAACUUUAUGCAAGACUGUCAUAAUUUAUAAUUUUGGAUUAUAAAAUUGUUGCCAUUUUAGGGCUAUGUGAAUAGCUCUAGUAUGAACUUUAGGCUAUAAUUUUGGAUUGUCAAAACUAACUUACCUUUUAGAUGGUGGCUAUGUGGUGCCAACUUGGAAUGUUAAUGGAAUGUCUCGUCAGUAUGUUACCUAACAUCCUUUAACCUUAAUAUGUAGAAGUAGAAAUUAUAAUUAAUGAUAGAAAGACUAGUUCCUUUAAACAUGUCAGUUUUGGUGUGAGAACCUCGAUAUUAUAUUGUUUCUCCCUACAUCCAGUUGCACCAGUUGCUAAAUUUAUAGAUUAGUCUUAUAGGUUAUGACUUGUUCCUCCUUAGGUUCAUCUACAUGUAAGAUUGUAUUUAUUGCUCUUUUUGUUGGAAUUGAAGACAGUUACAUGAUGCUCCUAGCACAAAGAUAGCAUGCAUUGCUAAUAGCCAUCGAUUUCUAAGAUUGCUUGUUAUUUUCAUUUUUUCUGACUGGAGUUUAGUAUUGUCUUUCCUAGGCAUGCUCAUUACUAGACAAGAAUUACACCAUUAGCUUUGGUUUAUAGUGGUGAAAAAUGUAGUCAAUAUGUUAUUGACACAAAUAAUGAAGGACAAGUUCCAAGCCAACAGCAAGUGUUGUCAAAAGUUUCCUUUUAUUACUACUUAUUCUUUCAAUGAAUAUUCUUUUAUGGAUCCUUA